ACUAAACAGAUAAGAAAAAAAUAGAUAAGAUGUUAAAGCACUAAACCUCUUGUUCCAUCGAGUGGAUCAUGUCAAGGAGCUACAUGCUUCAAUCCAUCAUAUUAGAAACAACUGGAGAAGGGAAAAAUGGUUUUACCGAGAGAAGGGAGAUUUUUUUUUUUUCGAAUUUGCAAUGCUCACUGAAGCAACGGAGAGUUAUAAUGAGUCUAGAAUUUAUAAUAAAUUGCUAAUAACCUAGGUCGUUUCUAGUGAUUGAUAUUUAGGUUAUCAAUAUUCUAUGCAUUAGUGAACUUGCAUAUUUUUGAAUUUUGUUUUCCAGUUUGGAUUAUUCUAGCCAACGAUUUUAUGAGAAAAAAUAUUUUCUUUUGAAAAAAAAAACAAGAGUUUAAUUUAAUCCGUUUAUAAUAUUGUAUAAACAACAAAGAUGGUUUUUCUCCAAAUAAAUUACUUCAACUGAUAAAAG
rnacentral:lncRNA from 1 species